CCCAGGUGGCCUCAACCUUCAAGGCCACGUCACUCCCGUGAUGGUUGUCCCAAGGGCGAUUAGCGUUCGGUGGCUCGCCCGGUUGCCGCUCCCGCGGUGAUGAGCGC
rnacentral:ncRNA from 1 species